rnacentral:rRNA from 1 species
UACGUAGGUGGCAAGCGUUAUCCGGAAUGACUGGGUGUAAAGGGAGCGUAGACGGUUGUUCAAGUCUGAUGUGAAAGCCCUCGGCUUAACUGGGGGAGUGCAUUGGAAACUGAAGGACUAGAGUAUCGGAGAGGCAAGUGGAAUUCCUAGUGUAGCGGCGAAAUGCGUAGAUAUUAGGAGGAACACCAGUGGCGAAGGCGGCUUGCUGGACGAAAACUGACGUUGAGGCUCGAAAGCGUGGGGAGCAAACAGG